ACCAUGGCCUGGGCUCUGCUCCUUGUCACCCUCCUCACUCAGGGCACAGGGUCCUGGGCCCAGUCUGCCCUGACUCAGCCUGCCUCGGUGUCCGGGAAUCCAGGAGCGACGGUCACCAUCUCCUGUGCUGGCACGAGCAGUGACGUCGGGAGUUAUAACUAUGUCGGCUGGUACCAACAGCACCCGGGCUCGGCCCCCAAAACCCUGAUUUAUCAGAACAAUAAGCGGCCCUCAGGGAUCUCGGAUCGCUUCUCUGGCUCCAAGUCUGGGAACAUGGCCACCCUGACCAUCUCUGGGCUCCAGGCUGUGGACGAGGCUGUUUAUUACUGUAGCUCAGGAGAGCUCAGCUCGGAGUCCCAGGGCUGGGGUUCAGGAGCAGAUGUGGGUGGAGGCCCCCCUUCAUCUCAGAACUUGGGGCAGGGGUAA